rnacentral:lncRNA from 1 species
GGUCGUUCAGAAAGAGAUACUGAAAAUACAAUAUUCGGUACCAAUCAGUGAUUCGACAAUCCCUAAAGACUACCAGCAAAAGUUCCGGUAGAAAUUCGAUUAUCCGACCUACCGAGUACUUCUUCUUCGUCUUCUUGUUGAAGUGUUGUGUUGAGGUAACAAACCCACAAUUUUAGUUAUAAUUUAUUUUUUAAGUAAAAUAAAUAAGAAGAGGGAGCCAAUUAUCUGAAGAUGUCGUGCCGACAUGGAAAAUUGAAUAGCUAUACAUACAUAACGCUGAAAAAGUUCAUAUUAGUUGCAUAGUAAUGGGUUUGGUUUAAUGUUUAUGAGUUUGUAGGGAAAACUACAAUACUGAAGAUACUUCGUGGGAAGCAUAUGGUGGAGCCGGAUAUGGUGAAGGUGCUAGGAAAAUCUACAUUUCAUGACACCGCAUUGACGAUUUCCCGUUUCCUUUCUGGCGACCUCUGUCAUCUUGGAUUAGACUAUUUCGUGAAAUUAUCUUUUGGUUUUAGUUUUGAUUUUGGAAAUUUUAUGUAGAUUUUAUGCAUACUCGUUGAGUGAUCUUUAUAUGAUUGCAAAAUAGAAGGCAAUUUUUACUUUUGGGAAGUUUCCUUUAAGUUGCCACUAAUUGGAAUGGUAAUUUUUUACAUUUUAGAAGGAAAGUAGAAUGAGAUGGUAACACUACCCGUUCGUAAUUGAUUUUGAGUUCUGGGAAAUUAUAUUUGCAGCUAUCUGAAAUUCUGUUCAUGAUUUUGAGUUCCUAAUUAAUUUUAGUACAAUAUGAUGCGAA